AUAGGGGUGCCGUAAGGCUGAGAUCACACCCUGUGAACCUGAUCUGGGUAAUGCCAGCGUAGGGAAGCGGAAAGC
rnacentral:ncRNA from 1 species